UGCAUGCAUAACUGAAAGUCGCUUUGGAUAAAAGUGUCUGCUAAAUGGCAGUAG
rfam:Salmo salar isolate Sally breed double haploid chromosome ssa02, whole genome shotgun sequence.